rfam:Sistotremastrum suecicum HHB10207 ss-3 unplaced genomic scaffold SISSTscaffold_9, whole genome shotgun sequence.
GGCCUGGUGGAACAAUGGCUAGUUCGUCUGUUUCCGGAGCAGGAGGCUGUGGGUUCGAGUCCCAUCCGGGUCG